rnacentral:rRNA from 1 species
CUUGGUCAUUUAGAGGAAGUAAAAGUCGUAACAAGGUAUCCGUAGGUGAACUGCGGAUGGAUCAUUACCAAAAGAGACGGCAACUGUCUGGUGUCGGGCUUUCUAUCUCCCGUCAAAAGGAGAAGCGCCCCAUGCCUUGCUCUUGCCUGUCCACCCCACACUUUGUGCACCUAAAACCUGUCUCUGGCAGGCGGCCUCGUUUCUCUCUCUUUUCCGAAAGGAAAGGGGAGUUUCAGGGCCAGGCUCUCGGGGGGGAGGCCUUGGUCUCCCCUAACUGUUUUGAGCCAACCUGUCAGAGGGCCUUUCGGAGCCCGAAACCAAUUUUCAACACUUGCUUGAACCAUUUACCUGUCUGAAACUUGUAAAAUCAUUUUUAACAAAUGAAUAAACAACUUUUGACAACGGAUCUCUUGGCUCUCGCAACGAUGAAGAACGCAGCGAAAUGCGAUACGUAAUGUGAAUUGCAGAAUUCCGUGAAUCAUCGAAUCUUUGAACGCAAAUUGCGACCUUCUGGUACUCCAGGAGGUAUGCCUGUUUGAGAAUCGUGACCCCCUCACCUCUCUUUUAACGAGAGUGGUGGACUUGAGCUUUCCCAACGGCUUUGAUUCCGCUGCCAAGGCGAAUUCUGGAGCUUGAAUGGGUGGCUUUAAAUUCAGGUGGGCCUUGAAGACGGUUGAAACUCUCUCCGUUUUUGGUGAAAAGGCGUGAUAAAACGUUCACUUCCGGGUGAGCAAUUAUAUCCUCGCUGCAAGUAACCAAGACGGUAAACUUCUCCCAGUUUUCAAAUUGGAAAAGGUCUGCACGAUAAAGCAGGAAAUGAAGUGAGCCUGUAAAACGGCUUUCUUUGUGUACUGAAUCUCAAAUCAGGCAAGACUACCCGCUGAACUUAAGCAUAUCAAUAAGCGGAGGA